rnacentral:rRNA from 1 species
GAUGAACGCUGGCGGCGUGCCUAAUACAUGCAAGUCGAGCGAACGGACGAGAAGCUUGCUUCUCUGAUGUUAGCGGCGGACGGGUGAGUAACACGUGGAUAACCUACCUAUAAGACUGGGAUAACUUCGGGAAACCGGAGCUAAUACCGGAUAAUAUUUUGAACCGCAUGGUUCAAAAGUGAAAGACGGUCUUGCUGUCACUUAUAGAUGGAUCCGCGCUGCAUUAGCUAGUUGGUAAGGUAACGGCUUACAAGGCAACGAUGCAUAGCCGACCUGAGAGGGUGAUCGGCCACACUGGAACUGAGACACGGUCCAGACUCCUACGGGAGGCAGCAGUAGGGAAUCUUCCGCAAUGGGCGAAAGCCUGACGGAGCAACGCCGCGUGAGUGAUGAAGGUCUUCGGAUCGUAAAACUCUGCUAUUAGGGAAGAACAUAUGUGUAAGUAACUGUGCACAUCUUGACGGCACCUAAUCAGAAAGCCACGGCUAACUACAUG